AGUGAACGCUGGCGGCAGGCCUAACACAUGCAAGUCGAGCGGAAGCACGGGACAGCUUCCUCUCUGCGUUGCGAGUCGGGGGCGUGAGAGGAAUGCAUCUGACUCUCCCCAGUGGAUGGGGUUAACGCAGGGAAACUUACACUACAACCGCAUACAUCCUGCGAGUGAAGGAGGGGCAGAGCAAGACCUCUCGCGUGUGCCUAAGUCGGAUUAGCUAGUUGGAGUGGUAAGGGCCUACCAAGGCGACGAUCCGUAGCUGGUCUGAGAGGAUGAUCAGCCACACUGGAACUGAGACACGGUCCAGACUCCUACGGGAGGCAGCAGUGGGGAAUAUUGGACAAUGGGCGAAAGCCUGAUCCAGCCAUGCCGCGUGGGUGAAGAAGGUCUUCGGAUUGUAAAGCCCUUUUAUUGGGGAAGAACUCAUGUAGGCUAAUACCUUGGUAUGUUGACGUUACCUAAAGAAUAAGCACCGGCUAACUUCGUG
rnacentral:rRNA from 1 species